GACGAACGCUGGCGGCGUGCUUAACACAUGCAAGUCGAGCGGUAAGGCCCUUCGGGGUACGACGAGCGGCGAACGGGUGAGUAACACGUGGGUGACCUGCCUCUAGCUCUGGGAUAAGCCUGGGAAACUGGGUCUAAUACCGGAUAUGACUCCACGGCGCAUGUUGUGGGGUGGAAAGCCUUGUGUGGCUAGAGAUGGGCCCGCGGCCUAUCAGCUUGUUGGUGGGGUGANGGCCUACCAAGGCGACGACGGGUAGCCGGCCUGAGAGGGCGACCGGCCACACUGGGACUGAGACACGGCCCAGACUCCUACGGGAGGCAGCAGUGGGGAAUCUUGCGCAAUGGGCGAAAGCCUGACGCAGCGACGCCGCGUGAGGGAUGACGGCC
rnacentral:rRNA from 1 species